rnacentral:rRNA from 1 species
GUUCCAGCCGCCGCGGUAAUACAGAGGGGGCAAGCGUUGUUCGGAAUUACUGGGCGUAAAGGGCGCGUAGGCGGCCUCCUAAGUCGGACGUGAAAUCCCCGAGCUCAACUCGGGAACUGCGUCCGAUACUGGUUGGCUUGAAUCCGGGAGAGGGAUGCGGAAUUCCAGGUGUAGCGGUGAAAUGCGUAGAUAUCUGGAGGAACACCGGUGGCGAAGGCGGCAUCCUGGACCGGCAUUGACGCUGAGGCGCGAAAGCCAGGGGAGCAAACGGGAUUAGAUACCCGGGUAGUCC